UUUUGGCCCUUUCGAAGCUGGAUAUUGCUGAAUGUUUGGCAUGUUCAGUCAAAAUGAGGCCUAAAGUAAAAUUUCUGUUUUGGUCACUGGAUAAUUUAAUUCAUAAUUAAUUCAGUAUUACCCAAACAGGAGACAAAU